rnacentral:rRNA from 1 species
GUGGGGAAUAUUGGACAAUGGGCGCAAGCCUGAUCCAGCCAUGCCGCGUGAGUGAUGAAGGCCCUAGGGUUGUAAAGCUCUUUCACCGAUGAAGAUAAUGACGGUAGUCGGAGAAGAAGCCCCGGCUAACUUCGUGCCAGCAGCCGCGGUAAUACGAAGGGGGCUAGCGUUGUUCGGAAUUACUGGGCGUAAAGCGCACGUAGGCGGAUAUUUAAGUCAGGGGUGAAAUCCCAGAGCUCAACUCUGGAACUGCCUUUGAUACUGGGUAUCUCGAGUAUGGAAGAGGUGAGUGGAAUUCCGAGUGUAGAGGUGAAAUUCGUAGAUAUUCGGAGGAACACCAGUGGCGAAGGCGGCUCACUGGUCCAUUACUGACGCUGAGGUGCGAAAGCGUGGGGAGCAAACAGGAUUAGAAACCCUGGUAGUCC